GAUGAACGCUGGCGGCGUGCCUAAUACAUGCAAGUCGAGCGAACGGACGAGAAGCUUGCGUCUCUGAUGUUAGCGGCGGACGGGUGAGUAACACGUGUAUAACCUACCUAUAAGACUGGGAUAACUUCGGGAAACGGGAGCUAAUACCGGAUAAUAUUUUGCACCGCAUUGUUGAAAAGAGAAAGUCGGUCUUGCGGUCACGUCUAGCUGGAUACGCGCUGCAUUAGCUAGUUGGGAAGGUAACGGCUUACGAAGGCAAGGAUGCAUAGCCGACCGGAUAGGGGGAUCGGCCACAUGGGAGCUGGGACGCGGUCAAGACUCCUAAGGGAGGCAGCAGAAGGGAAUCUUCCGCAAUGGUCGAAAGCCUGACGGAGCAACGCCGCGUGAGUGAUGAAGGUCUUCGGAUCGUAAAACUCUGUUAUUAGGGAAGAACAUAUGUGUAAGUUACUGUGCACAGCUUGACGGUAACGAAUCAGAAAGCCACGGCUAACUACGUG
rnacentral:rRNA from 1 species